AAGGAAAGUCCAACGCAUAAUAGGCCAAAACACAUAACUACAUGAGUGUUUAGUAAAAACUAGGGUAUUUAGUAGAAAAUAUUAGCCAUCUUUAGCUAUAGCUAAAUGUAUUGAGGAUAAUUAAACUUAAAUUAUUUAAGACAAUUAAACUCAAUAUAGUUUAAGAUGUAUACGAGAUUACAAGCCUCUGGUUAUGCUUUAAUUUAUAUUAAUUUACUAUAACAGGAACCGGCUUAA
rnacentral:RNase_P_RNA from 1 species